GACGAACGCUGGCGGCGUGCCUAAUACAUGCAAGUAGAACGCUGAAGAGAGGAGCUUACUCUUCUUGGACGAGUUGCGAACGGGUGAGUAACGCGUAGGUAACCUGCCUUGUAGCGGGGGAUAACUAUUGGAAACGAUAGCUAAUACCGCAUAACAAUGGAUGACACAUGUCAUUUAUUUGAAAGGGGCAAUUGCUCCACUACAAGAUGGACCUGCGUUGUAUUAGCUAGUAGGUGAGGUAAUGGCUCACCUAGGCGACGAUACAUAGCCGACCUGAGAGGGUGAUCGGCCACACUGGGACUGAGACACGGCCCAGACUCCUACGGGAGGCAGCAGUAGGGAAUCUUCGGCAAUGGGGGCAACCCUGACCGAGCAACGCCGCGUGAGUGAAGAAGGGUUUCGGAUCGUAAAGCUCUGUUGUAAGUCAAGAACGGGUGUGAGAGUGGAAAGUUCACACUGUGACGGUAGCUUACCAGAAAGGGACGGCUAACUACGUG
rnacentral:rRNA from 1 species